UUUAAUUAUUAGGAGGAAAAAAUAUACAUAGUAAUAAUUUGCCCAAAUUAAUUAAUUAAAGGCGGCUUAAAGGAAUUGAAAGCGCACUCCUUAAUAUCACUUUCACGUUCUUUUGUCACUUUCACUUUACUAAACCUUAAAAAAAAAUCAAAGUACUGCUUGUUUAUUGCUUCAAUUCGUGAAACCUCCACCGCUGUAAUAAUUAACCUUCAGCCGCUGACUCACCGCUCCACCGCCGCACCACCGAUCGCCGCACAACUUCUGAGCACUGCACCACUCCGCUGAGAAAACUUUCCUAAUUCAUGUUCAAGAUGGUAAUCAUUAGAAGUACAUUGCAAUAACAGUCAGAGUUUACAGCUAUCUGCUGUGUCGACUAGUGAUAUUCAGAGGCCACCUGAGCUUUCUUUCAACAGGUUGCAGUCUUGUGACAAGGAGUGUGAUGGAUUACAUAGGCAUAAAUUUGAAAGCUUUAUACUGCUGUCUUGUACUGGGGUAGGAGAGGUGAUGGUCUAUGGUCUAUAUAAUAAAAACUUGUAUAUGUAUAAAUACAAUAGCUUAACAACUUUUGUAAUUGAUUUUGUAAUCACUCUAAUCCAACCAAUUCAACUAUUAGUUUGAAGGAA